UAUGGUUGUGCCAGCCGCCGCGGUAAUACGGAGGAUCCGAGCGUUAUCCGGAUUUAUUGGGUUUAAAGGGAGCGUAGGCGGAUGCUUAAGUCAGUUGUGAAAGUUUGCGGCUCAACCGUAAAAUUGCAGUUGAUACUGGGUGUCUUGAGUACAGUAGAGGCAGGCGGAAUUCGUGGUGUAGCGGUGAAAUGCUUAGAUAUCACGAAGAACUCCGAUUGCGAAGGCAGCUUGCUGGACUGUAACUGACGCUGAUGCUCGAAAGUGUGGGUAUCAAACAGG
rnacentral:rRNA from 1 species